rnacentral:rRNA from 1 species
GACGAACGCUGGCGGCGUGCUUAACACAUGCAAGUCGAGCGGAAAGGCCACUUCGGUGGUACUCGAGCGGCGAACGGGUGAGUAACACGUGAGUAAUCUGCCCCUGGCUUUGGGAUAGCCACCGGAAACGGUGAUUAAUACCGGAUACGACCACGUCUCGCAUGGGAUGGUGGUGGAAAGGUUUUUCGGCCAGGGAUGUGCUCGCGGCCUAUCAGCUUGUUGGUGAGGUAAUGGCUCACCAUGGCUUCGACGGGUAGCCGGCCUGAGAGGGUGACCGGUCACACUGGGACUGAGACACGGCCCAGACUCCUACGGGAGGCAGCAGUGGGGAAUAUUGGACAAUGGGCGGAAGCCUGAUCCAGCAACGCCGCGUGAGGGAUGACGGCCUUCGGGUUGUAAACCUCUUUCAGCAGGGACGAAGCGCAAGUGACGGUACCUGCAGAAGAAGCACCGGCCAACUACGUGCCAGCCGCCGCAGUAA